rnacentral:lncRNA from 1 species
CUACCAACCACAUUGGCAUGUCAAGUCAGACAGCUUUGAGAGAGGAUCCAGCUUGCUGAGAACAGAGGGGCUGCCGGCCAAGCUGCUUUUUGCCCAGCAGGGUUCACCAUCCUCUCAUGGCUUGGUCACACUGUAUGAUGAGAGCUACGGAAGGAAACGCACUAAUGCCCUGCCAACGCUGCAGCCGUGUCAUCAAAAGAGCUUGGCAUGGCAGCCUCAGAGGCCAAAUACUGCUUUUCCAAACUACUCACAGCAGCUACAAAGGCACUGUUUUGACAAAGUGGAGCCACACGUCCCCGCUCUGAGUGUGUACAGGUCGGCCUUUCAGCGGCAUCCCC